rnacentral:lncRNA from 1 species
GGCUCAGGCCUGGUUCCGCCCUCGGCUCGGUUCCUCUCGGCGGCACCUUCCUGCGCCGAGUUCCUGGGUGUUAACUGUUCUGAGGCCGCAUGCAUCAGCUCACGUGCGACCCCGACGGCGGGAGGACGGACGUGCUUCGGGGGAGCAGGGUUGUAAUCGGCUCCAUGGGAUAGCGCAGGGUGGCUUAUCCCGAUCACCGGCCAGGUCCGCAGGGCGUUCACGCGAGAAGACGUUGUGCGCAGGCGCGGCGCUGGGUCGGCGGGUACCAAUCUCCCAGUCCAACAGACAGGAGAAAAUAAUGGUGUGGGUUCUCGUGGACCGCCGGUGGAGGAGGGAAGAAGCGGACGACGCAGGAGAGUAGAGACCACAAGAAACCCUAGCUCCGUCGCUUUUGGAGCGCCGUAUUUUUCUGAUUAGUAUUUAUUGGUGUGUAUAGAUCUUCUGUAAAAUUCUGUGCCAUCGUCCAUGGCUGCUGGCCCAGUUACUGACCUACCGGGAAUUUACUAAUCACUAAUGCUGCCACCGUCGCCGUAAAUAUACAGUGUUCCUGGGAAAGUGCUACAGGAGUUCAUCUUCGAAUCCUUGAAAGCAGCAAGGAACCUACACAUACUCUCUCUCUCUCUUUCUCUCUCUCUCUCUCUCUCUCUCACACACACACACACACACUCACACCCCUUCCCAUAUAUGCUCCUACUCUCAGCUAGGAUUUUGGAGAAUAUUUAUUUUUGUUUCAGAAACCGUAAUCGCUAGGAAUUGUUCAGUGUAAUGGAAUCUAUUUACACUUAAGGAAUAGAAACAGUAAUUUAAAAAAGAUAGAAGGGUAAAUAAGAGGCAACAAAGAAUAAGAAAAUUAAAGGUGAUGGAAAUGUAUAAGAAAAGUUUAAGAGAAGACAGGAAAACGAAUUGUUCCCCUCAAAGCAGUUACAGGGCUCUGAAGGGUGGGGCACGUGAGGAAAGACUGCAAUUAGAUGACCGAUGAUAGGCAUGGCUGCUAGAGUCACCACCGCAGUAAAGAGGAAGUAUAAAUAAAUGUGGCCUGACAUAACCCUGCCUGCCAGAAACUCAAGGUGUGGCCAGCUGAACGGAGGAGCUACAAAGUGCAAGUGUCAUGAAUUCAUCAGUGAAGUUCUGUUGUCCUCCACAGUCUGCCCUCUGUUAGGAUUAUUGUGCAAAGAACUGUCACAAUAGAAUUAAUUUUGCUUGAGGUCAAUAGAGUCCUUAUUAAAUGCAGUGUCUGCUAAUGUCAAGAAGACAGGCGCCCAUUUGCCUGAAGUACUCAGACUUGCAGAUUUUCCCAAGAGAUUGGUCAAAUGCCUUCCAAUGAAACUUAAAUGAUUUGUUACUAUACAAACAAGCUAGUCUUUCUGCUGUCCUCCCUCUUUCCCCACUCCACCCCUACACACACUCACACACACACACACACACACAUCACUCACUCUCGGAAAGGGCUGGGCAUGUUGUGUGAAGUGGUGAAAGGAAAUCAGCCAGACACAUCAAUCACAGUGUCAUAAGAUGGUGAUCCGGGAUGAAGAGUACUGAGAGUCUGAAGAGCUGGGGUUUCUCACCUGUUCUGUGUUCACAAACAUUCUGAAGAACGGUGACUUAAUCCUUAGAACCCUCGUUUCUGUAGACAAGAGUUACAUUGAAGGCUCUCAUCCCUGAGAUGGUAAAGCGGUCAUUGCUUUGUAACUGACAAAUCAUGAAAUAUACACAAGCCUUAGAAAGUUCUGUACUCUUGACUUUACUGUUUAGCAAACACCUAAUCUAAUCUAUUCAGUGUUGCUAGGGUCAAGAAAUUCCAUCCUCACAUGGUACUGGGUUUGGUUCUAUAGUACUUGUAGCAUAACAGUGAGAUAGCUUGUUAAUAUUUGCCUUUUUGAAUCUGGAAGGUGUGGGCACAUACAUUGGAAGUCAGGGGACACCCAUGGGAGUCAGGUCUUUCCUUUCACAACGAGGAAUUGAACUCGUCAUUAGGUUUUGCAUUGUGUCUUUUAUCUGCUGAGUCACCUCCCUAGUCCUCACCAGUUAAUACUUCAAAGAUGGAGAUUUGUUCUAUCUGGAGAUAGAACGAGAGUACACUGGUUCGUGUUUAAACAGACAAAGGAACCAUUACACAUCUCUGCAUCUCUAGGAGUAAUGCAAGCAGGUGGGCAUUUUUGCUUUCCAUACAGAUUUAACCCAGGGCUUCAGGCAUACUAGACAGCCAUUCUGUUGCUGAACUAUAUCCCUAGCCUUCGUUUUACUUUUUACUCAAGACAGGCUCUCACAGGCUGGCCUUGAACUCACUGUUGUGUGGCAGUUUUUCAAAAGGAAGGCAAAACAUUCUGUCAUGCAGACUAGCUACACUAGGCCCCUCUCUACAAGUGCAUGUGAGCACUAAAGACCGAGAGGCACUCUUAGCUAAGCCCAUCUGUGUAGCAAACUCUCAUAUAAACUGAGCGGCCCAGAAGAGGCUUGGGCCAACUAAGCUGCCUGGAAGAAGAUACCCUCCAAGCUACUGGGCUGCCUGCUGGUUGUGUGGUGUACUCCAGGUCUCCUCACCUGCUGCCAACCAUGCUGGUGUGGGAUUUUGGCAACUCAGCUGUCUUUGAGUCAUUUUGUACCUGUGCGGUACCUCGGUAAAGCUCAUUGGUUCACC